rnacentral:rRNA from 1 species
CUCCGGAGGGUGCGAGCGUUAAUCGGAAUUACUGGGCGUAAAGCGUACGUAGGCGGUUGGUUAAGUUAGAUGUGAAAGCCCCGGGCUUAACCUGGGAACUGCAUUUAAAACUGGCGAACUAGAGUUGAGUAGAGGGGAGUGGAAUUUCAGGUGUAGCGGUGAAAUGCGUAGAGAUCUGAAGGAACACCAGUGGCGAAGGCGACUCCCUGGACUCGAACUGACGCUGAGGUACGAAAGCGUGGGUAGCAAACGGGAUUAGAAACCCUAGUAGUCC